AUGGAGGUACUUAUGGCAGAACGGGCCGAUCUAGUCUUUCACAAUAACGUGAUAGGUGGAACUGCCAUUAAACGACUUAUUAGCAGAUUAAUAGAUCAUUUCGGAAUGGCAUAUACAUCACACAUCCUAGAUCAAGAUGACUGACCCCUUUAAUCCAGUCCAUAUCAUGUCUUUUUCAGGAGCUAGAGGAAAUGCAUCUCAAGUGCACCAAUUAGUCGGAAUGAGAGGAUUAAUAUACUGCUGUACGAACAUCAGAUGCUGGAUAUCUUACACGUCGACUUGUUGAAGUGGUUCAACACAUUGUUGUACGGCGAACAGAUUGCGGGAGUACAUAUCCAUAAUAGACAUAUCGAGAUUAUUGUGCGUCAAAUAACAUCCAAAGUCUUGGUUUCAGAAGAUGGAAUGUCUAAUGUAUUUUUACCUGGCGAACUAAUUGGAUUAUUGCGAGCAGAACGAAUGGGGCGUGCCUUGGAAGAACCCAUUUGUUACCGAGCUUUAUUAUUGGGAAUAACAAAAACAUCUCUGAAUACUCAAAGUUUCAUAUCUGAAGCGAGUUUUCAAGAAACUGCUAGAGUUUUAGCAAAAGCCGCUCUUCGGGGUCGUAUUGAUUGGUUGAAAGGUCUUAAAGAGAAUGUUGUUUUAGGGGGGAUGAUACCCGUUGGUACCGGAUUCAAAAGAAUAAUGCACCGUUCACGGUCAAGGCAACAUAACAAGAUUACCCGGAAAAAAAAAUUAUUCGAAGUAGAAAUUAG